rnacentral:lncRNA from 1 species
UAAACAUCAUUGUUCAGAAAAAUAGAGUUAAGCAUAAUUUCUUAAGAACAAUUUCUUCCCCCUUUUGGCAUCAUCGAAAAGUUGCAUAACAAUGUGAAUCCUAGAAUUGUAAUCAUUACUCAUGGCCACUGGGGCAACUGCAAGUGAAAGCAUGAUUUAGUUAAUCAAAAAUCAAAUUGAGAAAAAUAACUAUUAAGAUUAGAAUUUUCAUAAAGCAAGAGAAAUACAAAUUUUCAUUGAUAAGGCAGUGCUUCUAGGAAAUAGUCCACAAAAAGAAAGAACAAAAACAAUCAAACAUGAGCAAAAACAAGAAAAAUCCCUAAUCUGGGUCACUGGGGGGUUACUAGACUGGUUCGAAGAUAAGACAAAGAGACCUUAGGCUUUGAGGAACUAGAGGGUUUGGGAUUGGAGUAGGUUGAGCAUUGUUUGGAGCAUCCCUUCACUCUUUUCCUUUUCUUUUGCUAGCUCAUCUUUCAGCCUAUUCCUUUCGUCUUCCAGCUCAGCAACACGAGCCUGAAGCCUAGCAAUUUUAGCAUCUUUUGUCCCGCAUUCUUGAACCAAAGCCCUAAUCUUGCUGUUCACUGGAGUCUUCAAAGAUGAACCAGGUUCAACCAGGGCUGCACGGAGGAGAUAAUCACAAUCGUACAGGGUUUUGACACCAAAAUAGUCCUUGUUGGAGGCCAUCUACCAUUUCUUCAAGGGAAUAUUCAAUCUAUCCAGCACAAUCGUCAGUAUGAACUCAUAGCGAGUAGCAUGAGCGUUGGAGCCAUUUAUGACCUUGUCCAGCAGCUUGACAAUGAAGGCAUGUCAAUUAAUUUGCUUUCCUCUCACAAGGCAUUCCAGAAGAACCAAGUCCAUGUAGUUAGCAGUAUGCCUCCUCUCCAGUCUGGGCAGCAGACACUUGUACACAAAUUCAAAUAGCACCUUGUGCUAAGGCUUCAUCUCACUUUUCUGUACAAAUUUUGCCUCUGACACAUCUUCAGCAGACUCAGUGUCACAAAAGUUCCUGGAGAUCUGAGAGCACUAGGAAGAUCAUAUUAAUAAGGACACCUCUACCUGGUGUAGUCAUCGUAGCCUGCAUAUGGUAUGUCUAGAAUUUUCCCCAAUUUAGGUGAAUCAAAUUGCACCUUUGCUCCCCUAACCACACUGGUAACUACCCCACUUUUUCAUAGUGGCAUUUGCCAUGAAAUCGAUUAGCUCCUUUCUUGCCAGCCUUCCAUCCAUUUGAAGGACCAUGUCCUUCCAACCUUGUGCAGCUAGAGUAUCCACCAACCUAAUCAUGGAUGGCUCCUCCAGGUCUUUAAGCAACCUUCCCUUAAGAAUCUUUCUCCUGCCAAAGAUGGCAAAUCAAUCUUGUUCCUUUUCAGAAUCCUCUUCUUCUUCUUCUUCUUCUUCUUCUUCUCCACUCCAUUCUUCUUCUACUUCAGUAACUUUUACUUGUUUUCCCUUAAUUGCAGACUUAGUUCUUUUGCCAAGGAGGGUUCAGCAAAUACAUAUUUUGAAGACUUCUUAGCAGGAGUCUUGGUUCUUUUUGGUUUGGCAAUGGGAACCUCCACAGUUGUAUCUCUCUCUUGAUGUACCAGUUCCAUCUCCUCCUCCUCUUCUUUGGCAACCUCAGAAUUUCCACAACUUUUUCUUUUCCUUUUUCCUCUUCUUUUUCUUACUCUUCUCUAAAGUUUUCUUUAGUUUUGCCUCGCUUUGCUUGAACCUGCUCCUUGUGGCUCUUCCCUUAGGUACAGAAGGAGCAGCGGACUUGGGAGAUGAUACUUUGCUUUUUUUUGUCGGUUUAAAAGCAACUGGGGUCCUUUGUGAAGACGCCUUAUGCUUCUUUGUGUCAUAACUAGCCCCAACCUUCUUUACAAUGUCCGCUAAGGUUUACUCCAUAGAUGAACCAGGUUCAUCUUGUUGCUCACUCAAAUGAACAAGUCCCUUAGCAGCUUCUCCAGAACCGCUUCCCCCUGACUUGAUGCCACCCUCUUCUGCACUAUCACACAUAACAAGAACAUCUCCUUUCUUUUUCUUUCUCCUCCUACUAGACUCAACCCCUUCAAUAUUCUUAAUAGAACCCACCAACACAAACCUACUGUCUUCCGUUUCUGCCACAUGAGAAAAUACAAAACAAGUGUUUACCUUACCUGAGGUUUUGACUCUUGUCAUUGUCAGAAGACCCAGGUUCUUCUCC